GACGAACGCUGGCGGCGUGCUUAACACAUGCAAGUCGAACGAGUGGCGAACGGGUGAGUAAUACGUGAGUAACCUGCCCUCUUUUUGGGAUAAGCCUUGGAAACGGGGUCUAUUACCGGAUAACGGGGGAUGGGCUCGCGGCCUAUCAGCUUGUUGGCGGGCUGAUGGACUACCAAGGCGGUGACGGUUAGCCGGCCUGAGAGGGUGACCGGCCACAGUGGGACUGGGAGACGGACCAGACUCCUACGGGAGGCAGCAGUGGGGGAUAUUGCACAAUGGGCGAAAGCCUGAUGCAGCGACGCCGCAUGGGGGAUGAAGGCUUUCGGGUUGUAAACGUAUUUCGCUAUCGAACAGGUAGGUGGAGGAGAAGCGCCGGCUAACUACGUGCCAGCAGCCGCGGUAAUUC
rnacentral:rRNA from 1 species